UUAUUUAUUAUUUAUGUAUUAUUAAGAGUGUAUAUCAUUAUAUUAUGUAAUCAUUUAAUCUAAUUUAUACUUUAAACAUUAGUAAGCGCUGAUGAAAGCACAGUGUGCUGAAACGCGUCCGCGAAAUUGAGUCAAUGUAACACAUACUACUUAUUAAAAUAAUUUUAUAAUUGUUCAACCGAAAAAGCUUGUUAACCUUGGCCGUAAAAACUUAUUGUCAGUAUUUUGUAAUAAAACACAAGCGCUAUACCUUUAUAUUUAUGAUUAUCAUAAAUACUUUUGGAACUACUUCUUAGCCAGUAAAACGAUCUGUAUAGCAUCCAUACGGAUCAUUGUUUUGGCUAAACAGUUCUUGGACAUGUACUUGAGAUGACUAUUAAUAUAAGAGUAGACUCUGAACAAGCCUCGGUGUGCACGCAGUGCGCACUGGUGCAAGCUGCCGAAUUCGCUGUUAGACAUCUGCGUGGGUCAUUUGAAAAAUUGUCGGAAUAAAAUUGCAGACGGUCAUAUCGUCAUGGACAGACGUCAUACGUUAAGUGGAAAAUUUAACCCUCCUAUCACGUAUAAAGUUCGUUCCAUCAACUAGAUUUAUUUAUGUAGAAAGGGAAGAGUGCCAAUGUGAGCCACAAAUGAACGGAAAACGGUCCUCACAAUUUAGAAACAAAAUUUCUCUUUAAUAUAAACGUUUCGACCCCACUUCGGGUCUUCCUCAGUAUAACUCGUUUAAUUCGACUAAAGCGUAGCUUAAGGGACCAGAGUGAUAUGUGAUUUGAGAAUCAUUCCUCUAUCAGCGAUAAUCCCGGUGUAUCUCUAAAUGGUCCCAGACAUAAAGAGGACUGGAUGAAUCCGUUACAAAGGUAUUAACACGACUGUCUGAUUUAUUUAUUUUUUAAUAGAUCUUCGAACGAACUUGUCUGCGUGAUUUUUUAAACAAGAAUGAACUCGAUAUGCCGCUGUGAAUUAAGUAUCCACGAAUUAAAACGCGAUUUGUUGUCAAAGCCUCGCCUAGCCCUGUUGGACUUUCUCUUGUUUCUACGGUUGAAGGCAUAGUAUAACUAGUAGGCCCACUCUCUGUCGGCCCUUUGAUCUUUUCGGUCCCGAUCACGUGGUAUUCCACCAUGUCUUUGGUCCAGAUCCAACGGCGCAUGUGUGUGUACGUACUGUAGUUGCACGCGGUAGUGUAGCUUUGAUACAACUUUUCUCUCAUUGCUGGACCAACAAAAUGUCGGAUGCGCAGAAGGUUUCGACGUAAAACGAAACAAAUGACGGAGUGGACCUACUAGUUAUACUUGAAGAACCUCCUUGUUGGGAAGAGAUUUUCAAUUCUUUUGCAUCACUCGACAAAUCGUGGUCCCGUAAUGGAAUAAUGAUCUUGGAGCUCAAGUCGAUAUAAACGGAGAGAUUGUGUUGAAGGAUAAAUAGAUAAAAUUAUAAACAGAUAAAAAUAAAAAGAGAGCUGUUUUCCAUUUCGAGAACUCUCGCAAUGGCCCUCGUAUGUUGAAAGGUGUCGAAUGAGAUGGUAAGUAACGACUUCGAGAGGCUCUCUAAAGAGGUCGUUACAAUUUGAUGUAGCGGGAGAAAUUGAUGAAACGGACGAAAUUGUUAUUCCGUAGCAAUAUACGAAAUUACGCGGCAGAUAAUGUAAUGACGACAAUGCGGCCAAUUAGACAGAGAUCCAAAUUAGACGAAGUCAUCGUUAAAUUUGCCAGCGAUAUCGGACAUCAAUUGGCCGGGUAAUCGAUCGUCACGUGGCGAAUCGAGCGGUGUUACUUGAUCUAAUUACAACGCGAGUUCGCUUACACGUGGCGGGCGGCAUAUCGAAUAAGACUGUCAUGCAAAAAUGAAACCGCGAUAAGAGAACGUUCUUGACCGAAAGUAGAAGCUAAUGCGUUCCUUUUUUUCUUUCUGUAAGGCUGGAGCGUCGGGCAAAUGGAUAUUCCGCAUACCAUGCGAGUGACGUUUUGCAUUUUAUCGCGAGGUAUUUUCUCCCUAUCUCAUAAAGUUGAUUUUGUAGUGUACGAAUAAAUAUAAAUGCCAUUAUAACCGAAGCACGCGAGCGAAAAUCAUCAGCGUAACGCUUACGUUUAUCUAACACGCUCGCUUUAACAAAUAGCAUGUAUUUCUUUUCAUUCUAUAUAUUUCUUACGUCAUGUAGAAGCGAAUAACUUGACGUUAAACAAAUGCAGUACCCUCGAAUUUUCAAAUUCCCUGCGCGUUUCCCGAAGCACUCGGUUGAAUAAAAGCGAAAAUAAUUCAUUAAAUUCGUCUAAUCAAUAAUGAAAACUAUCGAAUGCAAAAUAUGCAAUUUAUCGCAAAUUAGAACGACGUAUAAAUCAUGUAUGAAGUAUGAGAAUAAAAUCCACGUGUGCAUUUGCUAAAUAAUCAAUUUCAUUUCCACUGGCCAACUUGCAUAACUUGACGAAUACUAAGAAAAGAUAUUAUACAUAAUUCUUUAAAUAAUAAAUAGCAAGUAUUCCUUUUCGUUCUGCGUAUUCUUUAGGUCUUGUAGACGCGAAUAUCUUAAGACUGAACAAAUACGCCGCAACAUUCUUGAAUUUUCAAAUUCUACGUGCGUCUCUCGAAGCAUUCGGUUAGAUAAGAGCGAAAAUACUUCAUUAAACUAAUCUAAUCAACGAAAAAUGCCGAAUGUAAAAUAUGCAGCAAUUUGUCUCAAAUUGGGACGUUUAUAAAGUAUGAGAAUAAAAUCUACAUGUGCAUUUACGAAAUAAUGAAUUUAUUUUCCAACUAUCCGCUUUCGUAACUCGACGAUACUAAUGAAAGAUAUUAUCAAAGAAAAUUCUAAAAUAUCAUAAUGUUAAAACCAUCGUGCCUGCUAUGAUAUGUAAAGAUAAUUCUUUAUAUACGCUAACAUUUCCCGAAAAGAUUGUAGUUGCAACAGAAACAAAAUGAUUUGAAUAAAUUUACAUUAUUGUCUUUUCGAGCGUACUGCACUGGAAAAUUAUUGUAAUUGGGAAUGUCCAAAUAUAGCUAUAGCAACACUUUCCGCGAUACCAUCGAAUUAUACAUUCCGUACGCAUCAAUCUCCAUGUAUUUGUAUUUUCCGACUCUUCCUCCCUACACAAUAUGCCGUAUAAUAUCGCUAACUUGACAUUGCAGCUAUCACUGUGCCAUGCUUAGGAAGCCCCAUACUUGAUGGUGAUUAAAAGUCAGUACCGAUAGCCGCGGCCGAGUCGGAAAGCGUCGCCCCGAUUAGAUACGGUCCUGGCUCGUACGAUGUCGCGAAGAGGGAUUGGCGGGGCCACGGAGGCCGGAGAGGGCCGCGGAGUUUCGGGAGAAAAACCGGCGGCGCGGCAGUGUGCCCCAGAUAUAAUCUUCACCUGUGGAACAAAUUUAAAUAUUGGUACAUUUUGCGACAAAGUCAGACUUGUCUGCAUCACAAUUGCAAUUAUCCAAUAUAAAGGGAAUAGCUCGAUCGCGCUUUUGUAGCGAGUAAACAAACCGCAAAAGCAGAAUGGCAAAUGAGGAUGGGCGUUACAAAGUAUACAUCUACGAGGACGUGAUUGUACGAGUUGUGUUCCGUGCUCGUGGAAUCCGCUACAUACGCUGUAACAAGGAAAUGGCGAAUUAACGAACAGAUUAAUCUAAUACAGCGAGCUACGAGAGCGAUGCUUGACAUUGUAUAAGUGCAACGGCGC